CAUCGGAACGUGUCCUGUAGUGGGGGAUAGCCCGGCGAAAGCCGGAUUAAUACCGCAUACGAUCUACGGAUGAAAGCGGGGGAUCUUCGGACCUCGCGCUAUAGGGGCGGCCGAUGGCGGAUUAGCUAGUUGGUGAGGUAAAGGCUCACCAAGGCGACGAUCCGUAGCUGGUCUGAGAGGACGACCAGCCACACUGGGACUGAGACACGGCCCAGACUCCUACGGGAGGCAGCAGUGGGGAAUUUUGGACAAUGGGCGAAAGCCUGAUCCAGCAAUGCCGCGUGUGUGAAGAAGGCCUUCGGGUUGUAAAGCACUUUUGUCCGGAAAGAAAUCCCUGGUCCUAAUAUGGCCGGGGGAUGACGGUACCGGAAGAAUAAGCACCGGCUAACUACGUGCCAGCAGCCGCGGUAAUACGUAGGGUGCAAGCGUUAAUCGGAAUUACUGGGCGUAAAGCGUGCGCAGGCGGUGAUGUAAGACCGAUGUGAAAUCCCCGGGCUCAACCUGGGAACUGCAUUGGUGACUGCAUCGCUUGAGUAUGGCAGAGGGGGGUAGAAUUCCACGUGUAGCAGUGAAAUGCGUAGAGAUGUGGAGGAAUACCGAUGGC
rnacentral:rRNA from 1 species